rnacentral:tRNA from 1 species
GCCUGGGUGGCUCAGUCGGUUGAGCGUCUGACUUUGGCUCAGGUCACGAUCUCACAGUUCAUGGGUUCAAGCCCCACAUGGGUC